ensembl:lncRNA
GACAGAGGUGGCCCGGGGUCACUCCGGGAAAGGGCCAGUGGAAGGAUGGGGACAGAACCUGCAGAGAAGCCACUGACCUCUGGCCUGUUGUUCUUUGUUGCUCCCUCACAGGAAGGCCAGGGCUGGCUGGGAAAGACCAGGAGGAGGCAUCAAGGUGGCUGCAGGCCCCAGAGCACUCUGGUUCUCCUGUUUGGGCUGCUCUCCCCUGCUGUCCCUGUCCCUUCCUGGAGUGGCGAGGGCAGGCAAGGCUUACGCAGAGCUGGAAGGAUGGACUAGAAGGGGCACGGAGCAGAUUGGUGUGGCCACCUUCGUACCUCCAGUGAGGGAUCACAGGCUGACAGCCCAGCCAAGCUCCUGACCGCUGUGGUGCCCUGUCUUCAGGCCACCUGGGGGCACCUGGACCCCAGGGCUCCUGUGGGGCCAGAAGUCACCGGCAGGGUGGCUGGAAGAUGGAAUUUGGGAACUCAACAAUGCUCAACUUUUAAAAAAUAAAAACCAGCGAGCAAGCAGUCACAUCAGCUAAAACACAAUGGAACAAGAAAAGCUUCGUUAUAUUCUCUGGGGGCCUUUGGUGGGGCCAUGAGGUGUGCUCACCCAAAAGUGGUCCCGACAGGAGCUUUGACUGUCAUGGAGCCUGGUUCCUUUCUGCCUAGGACUUACAUUUUUCUUAUAUAAUUAAAAAUAUUUUCCACCAUAUUUCUAUCGGAGAAUUUUAAUUUCCACACACUAAAGUGCACAAAUCUCAAGUGUACAGUAUAGUGAAUAGUCAUAACUAUGUGGCCACGCAGCUACCGUGGAUUGAGGAGUAGGACGACCCCUUAGGCUUCUUUCAUCCUCUCACAAUCACUGUCUCUCAAAGGUGACCGCCACUCUGAUUUCUCUUACUGUGACUCAGUUGUAUCCGCUUUUUUUUUUUUUUAAGAAUGUGGUGAAAUAUUCCAAGCAGAACAUUCGCCAUUUUUACCCUUUUUAAGUGUACAAUCCAGUGGCCUUAAGGAUGUUUAUGUUACGCAUGCAGCCAUCACAGCUGUCUGUCUUCAGAAAUUCUUCCAUCAGUUUCCAAACUGAGUCUUGGUACCUGCUAGUCAACCGAGUCAUCCCCACCUCUCUCAGCCUCUGGAAGCCACCACCCAUUGCCCAUGGCCGUGAAUUUGACUGCCAUAAGGAGCUCACAUGAGUGGCAUCAUACAGGACUUGUCCUUUUGUGACUGUUUUAUCUCACUCACCAUAAUGUCCUCAAGGUUCAUGCAGGUUAUAGCAUGUGACAAAACUUCCUGCUUUCUUAGUCACUUUCCUAGUCACUGAGGCACCAUAUUCAGAAACCUAAAAGAGGAGAGCUUUAUUUUGAUUCAUAUUUCAGUCCAUCAUCAGCUGGCUCCAAGGUAAGACAACAUUACAGAGGGACCUAGUGGAGGAGAAUUGCUUGCCUCAUGGGGACCGGAAGCAGAGAGAGUGAAGGAGCAGCCUCGAAGGAAGUCAUACCCUUCCAGGUCACACCCACAGUGACCCGCCUCUUCUGAGCAGACCCUACCUCCUAACAGCAAGUCAGAGAUAAGUCUCCAUAAUCCAAUCCAUCACCUCCCCAGAGCCCCACGUGCGAGGUGUGAGGCUCUUGCAUAUAAACAGUUACACCUUGGAUAUAAACCAUUACACCUUCCUUUUAAGCCGGAGUGAUAUUCAGAGGCAUGGACACUCCACCUUGCUUCUUUACUUGUUCAUCCUGG